GUGCUCCUUGCGAUAGGCGACGAUCGCCUCGGCCUUGGAGCGGCCGAUGUUGAGCAGCCCGGCAUCGAUGGUGGCGGCAUCGGCGGUGUU
rnacentral:tRNA from 1 species